UACGGAGGGGGCUAGCGUUGUUCGGAAUUACUGGGCGUAAAGCGCGCGUAGGCGGACCUGCAAGUCGGGGGUGAAAGCCCGAGGCUCAACCUCGGAACUGCCUUCGAUACUGCGGGUCUCGAGUCCGGGAGAGGUGAGUGGAAUUCCUAGUGUAGAGGUGAAAUUCGUAGAUAUUAGGAAGAACACCAGUGGCGAAGGCGGCUGACUC
rnacentral:rRNA from 1 species